GACGAACGCUGGCGGCGUGCCUAGUACAUGCAAGUCGAACGAACCGCGACUGAGUGCUUGCACUUGGUCAAGGUGAGUGGCGGACGGGUGAGUAACACGUGGGUAACCUACCUCAUAGUGGGGGAUAACAGUCGGAAACGACUGCUAAUACCGCAUAGGACAUAGGAUCACAUGAUCCAGUGAGGAAAGGUGGCGCAAGCUAUCGCUAAGAGAUGGACCCGCGGUGCAUUAGCUAGUUGGUAGGGUAAAGGCCUACCAAGGCGAUGAUGCAUAGCCGACCUGAGAGGGUGAUCGGCCACAUUGGGACUGAGACACGGCCCAAACUCCUACGGGAGGCAGCAGUAGGGAAUCUUCCGCAAUGGACGCAAGUCUGACGGAGCAACGCCGCGUGAGUGAAGAAGGUCUUCGGAUCGUAAAGCUCUGUUGUUAGAGAAGAACAGCGCAUAGAGUAACUGCUAUGCGUGUGACGGUAUCUAACCAGAAAGCCACGGCUAACUACGUG
rnacentral:rRNA from 1 species